AUCCUCCAACUGGAAGUGCCGCAUCCAAAUCAGGGCAAUUGUAGUUCGCAUUCAAAUUAGGGUCUUGUUCCAUCUGGAUGCCAGGAAAAUUGGGAUAAUUUGGAAAAGAUGAAUAGCCCAUCCCCCUUUCCGAUCGCAGAAGUUGUUGCUUUGUCGCAUCCAAAGUAAGGGCUUGUCCCAUCUGGCAUCCAUGAAAAUUUGUAUAAUUCGGAAAGGAAGAA
rnacentral:lncRNA from 1 species